CUUACUUAUGUGAAGCUUGGGUAAGGUUAUGAAUAAAUAAUUGGAGCUUGGAAUUGUGGAUAUUGGAACUUGGAGGAAGCUGAGCCUAGUGUUUAUUGAAUUCUGGAAGGGCUGUGUUUGUUUUGGAAGGGCUGUGUUUAUUAUAAUUAAAGUGCCUUGAUCGUUACGUGGGAAUCGGCCAAGAUGCAGGUCGAGAGACAUCUCGUUAGGUGUCUGGACUCUUGAAGCGGA